rnacentral:rRNA from 1 species
AUUGAACGCUGGCGGCAGGCCUAACACAUGCAAGUCGAGCGAGCGGCGGACGGGUGAGUAAUGUAUGGGGACUGCCCGAUAGAGGGGGAUAACUACUGGAAACGGUAGCUAAUACCGCAUACUAUCGGAUAACCCAUAUGGGAUUAGCUAGUAGGUGAGGUAAUGGCUCACCUAGGCGACGAUCCCUAGCUGGUCUGAGAGGAUGAUCAGCAAAACUGGGACGGAGACACGGCCCAGAUUCCUACGGAGGCAGCAGUGGGGAAUAUUGGACAAUGGGCGCAAGCCGGAGGCAGACAUGCCGCGUGUAUGAAGAGGGCCUUAGGGUGGUAAAGUACUUUAAGUCGGGAGGCGUUACCGACAGAAGAAGCACCGGCUAACUCCGUGCCAGCAGCCGCGGUAAUUC